rnacentral:rRNA from 1 species
AGUGAACGCUGGCGGUAGGCCUAACACAUGCAAGUCGAACGGCAGCACAGUAAGAGCUUGCUCUUACGGUUGGCGAGUGGCGGACGGGUGAGGAAUACAUCGGAAUCUACUUUUUCGUGGGGAAUAACGUAGGGAAACUUACGCUAAUACCGCAUACGACCUACCGGUGAAAGCAGUGGAUCUUCGGACCUUGCGCGAUUGAAUUAGCCGAUGUCGGAUUAGCUAGUUGGCUGGGUAAAGGCCCACCAAGGCGACGAUCCGUAGCUGGUCUGAGAGGAUGAUCCGCCACACUGGAACUGAGACACGGUCCAGACUCCUACGGGAGGCAGCAGUGGGGAAUAUUGGACAAUGGGCGCAAGCCUGAUCCAGCCAUACCGCGUGGGUGAAGAAGGCCUUCGGGUUGUAAAGCCCUUUUGUUGGGAAAGAAAAGCAGCAGGUUAAUACCCCGCCGUUCUGACGGUACCCAAAGAAUAAGCACCGGCUAACUUCGUG